AUAGCUUGAGCCUGUGAGAUCGAGAUUACAGUGAGCUAUGGAUCGGCCACUGCACUCCGGGCUGGGCGACAGAGCGAGACCCUGUCUCAAAAUUAAAAAAAGGAAAAAAAAAAAAAAAAAAGUCUGCGCUCCCCGGGGCCCAAGGAGAGGACCCAGGAGAGGAGUCUGGCUCCUUUUGCCUCAGACGAGUCCAGGGCGCCGGGUUAACUGGUCUAAAGUCCCAGGCGCUUUCUGGGACUGCUCAGCCACCGGCCGCUCCCGGCACCAGGGGACGCCGGACGCCCUCUGGACAAUCGGCGCACUUGCCACGAUCUUGGACGGGCCUCGGGCCUCGACCUUAAGAUUCCCCGCUCCAGCUCCGAGAUGUCAGCAACGCUGAUCCUGGAGCCCGCGGGCCGCGGCUGCCGAGACAAGCCGGUGCGCAUCACCAUGCGCGGCCUGGCUUCGGAGCCGCUGGACACGCUGCGCGCGCGUCCCUGCGCGACGAGAAGGCUGGGCUCUUCCGCUACUGCGCCGACGCCCGCGGCGAGCUGGACCUGGAGCGCGCGCCCGUGCUGGGCGGCAGCUUUAGGGGGCUAGAGUCCAUGGGGCUGCUCUGGGCCCUGGAAUCCAAGAAACCUUUUUGGCGCUUUCUGAAGCGGGACGUACAGAUUCCCUUUAUCGUGGAGUUGGAGGUGCUGGACGGCCACGACCCCGAGCCUGGACGGCUGUUGUGACAGGCGCGGCACGAGCGCGACUUCCUCCCACAAGGGGUGCGGAGCGAUUCGGUGCGCGCGGGCCGGGUGCGCGCCACGCUCUUCCUGCCGCCAGGACCUGGACCCUUCCUAGGGAUCAUUGGCAUCUUUGGUAAUGGAGGGAGCCUGUUGGAAUAUCGAGCCAGCCUCCUUGCUGGCCAUGGCUUUGCCACGUUCGCUCUAGCUUGUUAUAACUUUGAAGAUCUCCCCAAGAACGUGGACAACAUACCCCUGGAGUACUUCGAAGAAGCCCUAUGCUACAUGCUUCAACAUCCCCAGGUAAAAGGCCCAGGCACUGGGCUUUGGGGCAUUUCUCUAGGAGCUGAUAUUUGUCUCUCAAUGGCCUCAUUCUUGAAGAAUGACUCAGACACAGUUUCCAUCAAUGGAUCCGGGAUCAGUGGGAACAGAGGCAUAAACUGUAAGCAGAAUAGCAUUCCACCAUUGGGCUAUGACCUGAGGAGAAUCAAGGUAGCUUUCUCAGGCCUCGUGGACGUCGUGGAUAUAAAGAAUGAUCUUGUAGGAGGGUAUAAGAACCCCAGCAUGAUUUCAAUGGAGAAGGCCCAGGGCCCCAUCAUUUUCAUUGUUGGUCAGGAUGACCAUAACUGGAGGAGUGAGUUGUAUGCCCAGUCUCUGAACGGUUACGGGCCCAUGGAAAGGAAAAACCCCAGAUCAUCUGUUACCCUGGGACUGGGCUUUACACUGAGCCUCCUUACUUCCCCCUGUGCCCAGCUUCCCUUCACAAAUUACUGAACAAACACGUGAUAUGGGUUGGGGAGCCAGGGCUCAUUCUAAGGCCCAGGUAGAUGCCUGGAAGCAAAUUCUAGCCGCCUUCUGCAAACACCUGGGAGGUACCCAGAAAACAGCUUUCCCUAAAUUGUAAUGCGUUUGUCUGUUGUUGACAUGAGAGAGUCAAGAUCAGAUUCUAGUGUUCAAUAACCCUAUGUGAAUCAGCUGUCUCCUGGAUAACAUUAAAGCCAUGUCUUUGUCAUU